rnacentral:rRNA from 1 species
UGAGUUUGAAGCCGGGGCUUCGAGCUGGCGGAAACGCAUGUGCACGGCCCCGCGCUCAAUCCACUCAACCCCUGUGCACUCUAUGGGAGCUAGUAGCCGGAUCUAACACUUGGAGAGGGGAGGCAAGUAGUCCUUAUUUACUUAGGACGAACACUUCUCUUUGAACGGUGCGCCGGCGAACACUUCAAUUUAUUUAUCAACCAUAACUUGUUAUGUUGAAUGUAUUACUCCUCGUGAGUGAAAUAAUAUACAACUUUCAACAACGGAUCUCUUGGCUCUCGCAUCGAUGAAGAACGCAGCGAAAUGCGAUAAGUAAUGUGAAUUGCAGAAUUCAGUGAAUCAUCGAAUCUUUGAACGCACCUUGCGCCCCUUGGUAUUCCGAGGGGCAUGCCCGUUUGAGUGUCAUGUUCAUCUCAAUCUCCAAGUCUUUGACUCGGGGUAUUGGACUUGAAGGUUGCUGGCCCCCUUGUGACCGGCUCCUUUGAAAUGCAUUAGCUGGGCUUUGACUCGCGUUUGUUACGGUGUAAUAGUAACUUGUUCACCGGGGCGCUUGUCUAGUGGGUCCGCUUCUAAUUGUCUUCGGACAAGACGCUUGCUCGUCUUUACUUGACCUUUUGACCUCAAAUCGGGUAGGAUUACCCGCUGAACUUAAGCAUAUCAAUAAGCGGAGGAAAAGAAACUAACAAGGAUUCCCCUAGUAACUGCGAGUGAAGCGGGAAGAGCUCAAAUUUGGAAUCUGGCGGUCUUCGGCCGUCCGAGUUGUAAUCUGGAGAAGCGUUUUCCGCGCUGGACCGUGCACAAGUCUCCUGGAACGGAGCGUCAUAGAGGGUGAGAAUCCCGUCCAUGGCACGGACGCCCAGUGCUUUGUGAUACGCUCUCGAAGAGUCGAGUUGUUUGGGAAUGCAGCUCAAAAUGGGUGGUAAAUUCCAUCUAAAGCUAAAUAUUGGCGAGAGACCGAUAGCGAACAAGUACCGUGAGGGAAAGAUGAAAAGCACUUUGGAAAGAGAGUUAAACAGUACGUGAAAUUGUUGAAAGGGAAACGCUUGAAGUCAGUCGCGUCCGACAGAACUCAGCCUUGCUUCGGCCUGGUGUACUUUCUGUCGGACGGGUCAACAUCAGUUUGGACCGGUGGAAAAAGGCAAGGGGAAUGUAGCGCCGCUUCGGUGGCGUGUUAUAGCCCCUCGUCGUAUACAUCGGUACGGACUGAGGACCGCAGCACGCCCUUGUGGCCGGGGG